AGUGAACGCUGGCGGUAGGCCUAACACAUGCAAGUCGAACGGCAGCACAGGAGAGCUUGCUCUCUGGGUGGCGAGUGGCGGACGGGUGAGGAAUACAUCGGAAUCUACUCUGUCGUGGGGGAUAACGUAGGGAAACUUACGCUAAUACCGCAUACGACCUACGGGUGAAAGCAGGGGAUCUUCGGACCUUUCGCGAUUGAAUGAGCCGAUGUCGGAUUAGCUAGUUGGAGGGGUAAAGGCCCACCAAGGCGACGGUCCGUAGCUGGUCUGAGAGGAUGAUCAGCCACACUGGAACUGAGACACGGUCCAGACUCCUACGGGAGGCAGCAGUGGGGAAUAUUGGACAAUGGGCGCAAGCCUGAUCCAGCCAUACCGCGUGGGUGAAGAAGGCCUUCGGGUUGUAAAGCCCUUUUGUUGGGAAAGAAAUCCAGCUGGCUAAUACCCGGUUGGGAUGACGGUACCCAAAGAAUAAGCACCGGCUAACUUCGUGCCAGCCGCCGCGGUAA
rnacentral:rRNA from 1 species